GCAUCCGUAGCUCAGCUGGAUAGAGUACUCGGCUACGAACCGAGCGGUCGGAGGUGAGUACUCGGCUACGAACCGAGCGGUCGGAGGUUCGAAUCCUCCCGGAUGCACCA
rnacentral:tRNA from 1 species